CUAAAAUAUCUGCCUAUCAAGAAUUUCGGUAGUUGUAGGUAAAGCCUACCAAGCCUAUAUCUUUAGUUGGUCUGAGAGGAUGAUCAGCACACUGGGACUGAGAUACGGCCCAGACUCCUACGGAGGCAGCAGUGAGGAAUAUUGGACAAUGGAGGAAACUCUGAUCCAGAGACACCGCGUGAGUGAUGAAGGCCCGCGAGGGUUGUAAAGCUCUUUUGGCAAAUGAAAUAAUGAUAUGGUUUGCAGAAAAAAGUACCGGCUAACUCUGUGCCAGCAGCCGCGGUAAUACAGAGGGUGCAAGCGUUGUUCGGAAUUAUUGGGCGUAAAGCGUAUAUAGGCGGUAAUGUAAGUUUGAUGUAAAAGUUUGGAGCUCAACUCCAAAAGGUCAUUGAAUACUGCAUUGCUAGAGGUCGGGAG
rnacentral:rRNA from 1 species